UAUCCUACGGGAGGCAGCAGUGGGGAAUAUUGGACAAUGGGCGAAAGCCUGAUCCAGCCAUGCCGCGUGUGUGAAGAAGGCCUUUUGGUUGUAAAGCACUUUAAGCGAGGAGGAGGCUACUUAGAUUAAUACUCUAGGAUAGUGGACGUUACUCGCAGAAUAAGCACCGGCUAACUCUGUGCCAGCAGCCGCGGUAAUACAGAGGGUGCGAGCGUUAAUCGGAUUUACUGGGCGUAAAGCGUGCGUAGGCGGCUUUUUAAGUCGGAUGUGAAAUCCCCGAGCUUAACUUGGGAAUUGCAGUCGAUACUGGGAAGCUAGAGUAUGGGAGAGGAUGGUAGAAUUCCAGGUGUAGCGGUGAAAUGCGUAGAGAUCUGGAGGAAUACCGAUGGCGAAGGCAGCCAUCUGGCCUAAUACUGACGCUGAGGUACGAAAGCAUGGGGAGCAAACAGGAUUAGAUACCCGUGUAGUCCAU
rnacentral:rRNA from 1 species